rnacentral:rRNA from 1 species
GUGAGGAAUAUUGGUCAAUGGGCGAGAGCCUGAACCAGCCAAGUCGCGUGAAGGAAGAAGGAUCUAUGGUUCGUAAACUUCUUUUGCAGGGGAAUAAAGUGCAGGACGUGUCCUGUUUUGUAUGUACCCUGAGAAUAAGGAUCGGCUAACUCCGUGCCAGCAGCCGCGGUAAUACGGAGGAUCCGAGCGUUAUCCGGAUUUAUUGGGUUUAAAUGGUGCGUAGGUGGUUUGAUAAGUCAGCGGUGAAAGUUUGCAGCUUAACUGUAAAAAUGCCGUUGAAACUGUCGGACUUGAGUGUAAAUGAGGUAGGCGGAAUGCGUGGUGUAGCGGUGAAAUGCAUAGAUAUCACGCAGAACUCCGAUUGCGAAGGCAGCUUACUAAGCUACAACUGACACUGAAGCACGAAAGCGUGGGGAUCAAACAGGAUUAGAUACCCGGGUAGUCC